CCUUUCGGUUAGCCUAUUCUUCAACCUAUUAUCUUUGUGAUAUCUCUUGUUUUCUUGGUGGACUCUACUUUGUGUAGAGCAGAUUCGUUCUUAGCAAAAGGGGGUUCUGUUCGGCCGAGAGAGAGAGGACGUUUGGGCUGUUCGGGUUGGGUUUUCGUUGCGGAAUAUCUACAAAAACGAGAGAUCUUCCGCUCAACAAUGGCAUCUAACUUUCAUUUAUUCUUUCAAAGACCAUAAUAUAGAGAGAUUCAUGUAUGCUUUGAUUUCAACCCUUGCCAUAAAAAAACAGAGCAGACCCUGCAAAAAUGGUUGAUGAGAAUUGAUGUUUGUCAUCGAAUUCAUUUGUUUGUUUGGACGACGAUUUACUUAGUUAAUCUUCAGUUUGUUUACCCAUCUGAAAUUUCUUGUUCUACUUAUGCCUUAUAGAGUUUGUCUAGAUGGAUUUGGCUGGAGAUGUUGAUUGCUAGCUUUAAUUGCUCCUUAUAUUAUGGUAAGUAGGUCAUCUAGAUUUGGACUACUGAGAAAGACAAGUAAAUGCAAAGGGAGGCAAAAGUUAAAACAAAGACUGGGUGGAGCAUUUCUAACAACUACUCUCUCCUACCUGUUCGAUGUCCCAGCUUCACUCUCCUAAGACCCUGUUAGUUUGGACCUUCAAAUUGUUGAAGAGAAAAAGGCAAAAAAAGAAAAAGAAAAUAGGAGAAUCCUAUUAAUUACUGUUGUUUUCAUUUGCUCACUGAAAAUGACCAACCAACUUGUAUCACUAUCAUCAGAUUGAAGGGUUCACUGUAACUAACCAACCAUGGGAGGAUGUGUUCUUGCCUAACUUGGGUUUAAUUAGUUCAAGGUUUUAUAUAACAACUGUAGCUGGUAGGAAGAUCGUGCAAACCACACAUACCUAAAUUGAAGGCAAAAUAUAACAUAAAAAUUUAGGGCAAUUCAGCUUAAAAACCACGUCCAUGAUCUCGCAACAAUAAAAUAAUUCACUAAUCAUCAGUUCUGUGCGGAAAAAAAGUAUAAAAUAAAACUCUCUCAACACAAACUAAUUGGGCUUCUACCUGAGAGAUUUAAUCUCAAAUCAAAUAUAAUUUUGAGAUGUUAUCUAACAAUAGUCACCAUAAUGUUAUACUGCAACAGAAAUAGGACAAUCGUGACUAAAGUUGAGCGCAUAAUCUUUUUUCUUCAUGCAACAAGCGUAACAAAUCUUCUGAAUACCAACGUCAUUUUUUGUUUUUUUUAUCAGGUUGCUUUUAUAGGGGUUUAAGAUAAUUUUUGGAGAAAUAUGUGUUGGAGUCAUGAACCUGAUUUGAUAUAUGUGUUAAUUAUAUAUCAUUUUAAAAUUGAUAUUCAGAUUAUUUUGUUUAUUUUGUUCCAAAAAUUACUGAUUCAUCAUUAGAGGUUCAAAAGGUAAAAUUACUAAAUUAAGAGAGUAAGAAAAAAAGAAAAGUCAGGCUGCCAAAUAGAAAAGGGGGAAAGUCAAGAGAAACUAGUAAAAGAAAGCAGACAGACAUAAGUAAACUAUUGUCAUCUCAAUACAGAUCUCCUCUCUCCCAAAAAAGAUUCAUCUCAAUACAGAUCUCCUCUCUCCCAAAAAAGAUUCAAUCAUAUCCCCUCAUUCUUCAUCUUAUUUACAAGAAUGUAUUGACAAAUAUAGAAAGAUAGAGAGGUCUAUAAAAGAGUGGAGAGGGAGAAACACAUUGACAGAUAAAAGAACAACAAAGAAAGGGAAUUUGUUCACAAACAAGGGGGGCAGAAAGGCAGAAAGAUCAGGAGAUUCAAGUUUGAAAAGCUGACAUCAGAGCUUGGUGGUUCAAACUGAUUGAAGAGAUCUACUUUUGUCCGAUUUUCUGUGAAGGGGAGGCUGAAGAAAAUGAAGUUUGGCAAGGAGUUUUCCUGCACAGAUGGUGCAGGAAUGGCAGGAAGCAUACAUGAAGUAUAAUGAUCUGAAAACUUUGUUGAAAGAUAUACUGAAUUAUUGACAAGUGAAUCCAUUAUCCUCGGCCAAGCAAGCUUCGAGAGCUUCCUUUAAGAGGAAUGUAACCCUUUACAAAGCCUUUAGCAGCCUGACCAGCGGAUACAACUGAAUCAGAGAUUCGACGAAGAUUAGCAGUGAAGACGAGGUGAUAGUUGUUGGUGCGGUACAGGAAGGUUCAUCAGAGCAGUAUCAGACUAUGGUUCUGAUUGCUUUGGAUGAAGGGGAAAACCUGAGGCUGCAUUCUUUAGGAGGCUGGAUAAGGAAUUCAACGAAGUGCUCAAAUUCAGCAAGGCAAAAACAGGGGAAGUGGUUAAGGAGGCACAGGAGUUGAAUAAGCAAGUGGAUGCUCUCAUUGCUCUCACGGUGAAGGUUGACAAGCCUUUGUUAGCUUCAAUGCAGGCUGAUUUCAACAAUCUUGGUGCUUCAUUGAAUCUUUCCAUCAGUAGGAGAAAGCCAUGUAUGGCUAAUUUGUGAAUGUUCAAUGUCAUUUUCCUGAAAACUACGUUGUGAAUCAUAUGAACUUAGGAUGGUUUUUUUGAAGGUUCUUGAGAAUAAUCUUUAUUUUUGUAGGUUUUUUUUGAAGGUACUUUUGUGCUCCAUAUAUUGUGGUGUUUGUUGUGCCAUUGUGUUCAUUCUUCACAGGUUCAAUCAAAUAGAGAGAGCAGGUGAAUCUUUGGUUAGUCUCUCUCCCAUUAUGCUUGUACCCUACAAAAAUGUCUACUUUAUAGUGAUAGUAAGUAGAAAAAGAUCUGAAUAUGCACGGUACAUCUGGUAGCUCUAAUGAAUAAAUGAACUGAUGAUGGGGGCCUGGGCUGAAUAUAAAGGAAAUUUGUUGUUGUAGGUAGUGAAUGGGGUGUUGAGACUUGCAUGGAUGUAAUCGGUAUUUGGGUUCCAUGAGGCACCCUUCCUGCAUAAGAAGGCGCUAACAGCCAUUGUUGCCUGCUUGGAGAUCAUUCGCCGGGGCAUUUGGAAUUUCUUCAGGUUGGAGAAUGAGCACUUGAAUAACGUUGGAAAAUACAGAGCAUUCAAGUCGGUGUCUUUACCCUUCAGCUAUGACGAUGGGGUCGGGGGAAAGCAUGCCUGAAUAAUGACUCAAAUGCUGCAGUGUAGAAAGAAGCACAACAUCUAAAUAUAUCUUAUCUGCUGCUGCUACCCUACCCUCCCUCAAACUGCGAUUUUGUAUCACAAUUGCUCUCUCUCUCCAGAGAUAGCAUUUGCAUUCUUACUCU